rnacentral:lncRNA from 1 species
UUUGAGCAAGGUUUAGCCAACCUGCAGUCACACACAGGAAGAGACAGUGCCAUCUUCCUCUGGAUAUUGUUGUGUUAUAUCUGGAGUUAGCACCUGGAAUUGUUACAGCCUUUUUGCUAUUAGGCUGAAGAUGAAGCCAAUGAGCAGAGAAAGGCCAAGGCAAGAGACGACAGAAAAGCAGUAGCCUCCCCGACUUCUGUGAUGAACAUACAGUUUCAGGACAAAGAAUUCUCCCUGAUUGACGAUACACUAUAUUACUAGUGUAUUCAUCACUAGUAAUUAAUGGUACAUCAAGUCUCCCUUUAGAAAUGGGAAAGAGCUAAGGGGAG